CGACAAACCAAACCGGCGCGCGCCGCCUAGAGUUAUAGGCUCCGCCUACGCGCGCUGAGCCGACCAAUGUCUGCACCCGCAGACGUGGACGCGCCUACUAGCGUGUACGCGCAUGAGCCAAGAUCUCUGGACUUUCUUUGCUGGAACACGAACGUAAGUAUAGAUUUAUUGAUUUAUUGCUACAUUCGCAGUAAAUAUCAGCCUUUGUGUUUCCAUCAUCGUUUAUGUAUGAUUGUAAUGACGUUGUUUGAUAUUAGGACUAGCAGUAAAACUUUAUAUUCUGUAAAAAAAGGCUUUAUUUCCAGCGCCGCCUCCCAGAAUGCUUUGCAUGGGGACGUGCGUCUGACGUCACAUAUACAGAAAAUUCGAAAUGGCUGCACGCGGUAGGUGAGGCCCGAGCGAAGAAAAGUGGAAAAGAUUGUUAUUCGUCAAAAAACCCACACAACGACGGUCAUUUUUUCGCCGUGCUAUUGUAAAAUUGUCUUUUAUCUGUGUUUUGUGUUCCGGGGGACCCCGACUCCAGAAUGUGAAAGUUUCCCGCGUGAAGCCGUGGAGCUUGAGAUCCUGUUUACUGUGGACUAGCUGUGUGUGACGCCAUGUUGUUUUUGUUUACAUUAAAAAAAAAAGCUCCACCGUCUCGCCGAGUGCCAGCAAGAGUCAUGAGUACUUGUCAACUCGACUCCUCAACUGGAGAUAACUUUCUAGCACCUCACCAUGGGGAAGGAUGUAUUCAUAUGCCUUCACCAGCACAUGCAUUUAACAUGCAGAGAGUUACACAAGUUCUUACCACCUUGGGGCACCAUUCAGGGUGCCUUUUCAUCUGAUUAAAUUUAUAAUGAACAGGGACAUUGCGGUUGUCCCAAGUGGAUGGUAUGAUGAUAGGAUGGUUUUCUGGCCCAGCUAUAAAAACACCGACAUAAUUGAAAGGGCCGCUUUAAAUGAGGAGCAGCAUGAGCCAGACUGGCCAAGA